AGCGAACGCUGGCGGCAUGCCUAACACAUGCAAGUCGAACGAGAUCUUCGGGUCUAGUGGCGCACGGGUGCGUAACGCGUGGGAAUCUGCCCUUUGGUUCGGAAUAACGGUUGGAAACGACUGCUAAUACCGGAUGAUGACGAAAGUCCAAAGAUUUAUCGCCAGAGGAUGAGCCCGCGUAGGAUUAGCUAGUUGGUGUGGUAAAGGCGCACCAAGGCGACGAUCCUUAGCUGGUCUGAGAGGAUGAUCAGCCACACUGGGACUGAGACACGGCCCAGACUCCUACGGGAGGCAGCAGUGGGGAAUAUUGGACAAUGGGCGAAAGCCUGAUCCAGCAAUGCCGCGUGAGUGAUGAAGGCCUUAGGGUUGUAAAGCUCUUUUACCCGGGAUGAUAAUGACAGUACCGGGAGAAUAAGCUCCGGCUAACUCCGUGCCAGCAGCCGCCGUAA
rnacentral:rRNA from 1 species